rnacentral:rRNA from 1 species
AGACGUCAAUCAUCAUGCCCCUUAUGACCUGGGCUACACACGUAAUACAAUGGCGGUCAACAAAGGGAUGCAAAGCCGCGAGGCAGAGCGAACCCCAAAAAGCCGUCCCAGUUCGGAUCGCAGGCUGCAACCCGCCUGCGUGAAGUCGGAAUCGCUAGUAAUCGUGGGUCAGCAUACCACGGUGAAUACGUUCCCGGGCCUUGUACACACCGCCCGUCACACCAUGAGAGUCGGGAACACCCGAAGUCCGUAGCCUAACCGCAAGGAGGGCGCGGCCGAAGGUGGGUUCGAUAAUUGGGGUGAAGUCGUAACAGGUAACCGUAA